rnacentral:lncRNA from 1 species
ACAAUGGCAGCAAGGCCAUUGAGAGUCUAAAGAAGAAUAUCUCCAAGCAGGAGUCGCUCCUCAGGGCACAUAACCUCAACGACAAGAGUUACACAUUCCUGAUUUCCUCUGACUAUGAAUAUGUCUAACAGAGGGAGAACUUGUGGAAGCAGCAGCAGAAGUAUUUCAAAAGCUUUUCUCUGAUGUUUGUGGAGCUACAGAUGUUGAUCAACAUGUCUGUCAAACUUCAGACUGCUCACAACAUUCUAAUGACUGUCAACAAAGAAGAUGGUGAAUCUCCUGAGUAUUACAGGUUUCUGAAUAUUGUAGUCCACUCCACCACCAGACUAAAGCAGAGCUUAUGUCUGUACUGAACCCUGGAGAUAGAUUUCUAUUGGUGUUUUGUCAA